AGAGUUUGAUCAUGGCUCAGAUUGAACGCUGGCGGCAGGCCUAACACAUGCAAGUCGAGCGGUAGAGAGAAGCUUGCUUCUCUUGAGAGCGGCGGACGGGUGAGUAAUACCUAGGAAUCUGCCUGAUAGUGGGGGAUAACGUUCGGAAACGGACGCUAAUACCGCAUACGUCCUACGGGAGAAAGCAGGGGACCUUCGGGCCUUGCGCUAUCAGAUGAGCCUAGGUCGGAUUAGCUAGUUGGUGAGGUAAUGGCUCACCAAGGCUACGAUCCGUAACUGGUCUGAGAGGAUGAUCAGUCACACUGGAACUGAGACACGGUCCAGACUCCUACGGGAGGCAGCAGUGGGGAAUAUUGGACAAUGGGCGAAAGCCUGAUCCAGCCAUGCCGCGUGUGUGAAGAAGGUCUUCGGAUUGUAAAGCACUUUAAGUUGGGAGGAAGGGCAGUAAAUUAAUACUUUGCUGCUUUGACGUUACCGACAGAAUAAGCACCGGCUAGCUCUGUGCCAGCAGCCGCGGUAAUACAGAGGGUGCAAGCGUUAAUCGGAAUUACUGGGCGUAAAGCGCGCGUAGGUGGUUUGUUAAGUUGAAUGUGAAAUCCCCGGGCUCAACCUGGGAACUGCAUCCAAAACUGGCAAGCUAGAGUAUGGUAGAGGGUAGUGGAAUUUCCUGUGUAGCGGUGAAAUGCGUAGAUAUAGGAAGGAACACCAGUGGCGAAGGCGACUACCUGGACUGAUACUGACACUGAGGUGCGAAAGCGUGGGGAGCAAACAGGAUUAGAUACCCUGG
rnacentral:rRNA from 1 species